rnacentral:SRP_RNA from 2 species
GCCGGGUGUGGUGGAGUGCACCUGUAGUCCCUGCUACUCAGGAGGCUGAGGCAGGAGAAUCGCUUGAAUCCAGGAGGCCAAGGUUGCAGUGGGCGAGAUCACGCCACUGCACUCCAGCCUGGGCGACAGAGCGAGAUCCUGUCCCCC